rnacentral:lncRNA from 15 species
AUGAGGAUACCCUUAACAGGAGCAGUUAAACCGGGACCGGGUUUAUUGUCGCCCGGAUGCCAUCGGACCCAUCAGAUCACUCAGCCGCGACAAGCGGUGGCUCCGUCGCCUGAAAGUCAAUCUCCGUUAAACAAAGCAGCAUCCUCCUCUCUCCUCUCUCCUCUCCUGCCCCGUCGAUUGGCUGUAUCCCUCCUCGUCAGGCGGCCGCUGAUUGGACAUGCCCCUCUCUACCUCCGCCCCCACCUCCCCGUCCACGAGCGUGCAGCGCGAGACGCCGAGCAGCAGAGGAGGCAUCCGCGCGGUGUGGAGCGGACGGAGCGCGCGCCCACCCACCCCCCCCUCCCUCUCUCCACCACCACCUCCAGGACACCCAGGACAAGUUAUAAACGACGGAAACACGGAGAACAACACCGGGCCCUGCUGCUCUUGGUUGUCUUUUCCUGUUUGUCUUCGGGAUCCUGAAGAAGGUCUCCGGCACACCUCUGUCUGUCCAAAUACCGGGGACACAAAUCUACCGGACCUGACGGGGCAGCACACACACCUAUAAGGCAAGUGUUGUAUGUAGGCUGAUACUGAUUGGCAGAUGGUCUCCAUGAAAACAAAUGAUGU